AAUUGUGUCAAUUAUAUUAUGACCUAGCCAAACUUACUACUUGAUAAAUAUCAUUAAGUAGCUUACUAGUGAAGUGAGGAGUGCUAGUUGUAAUACGUCGUCGAUAUUGAGUCUUACCACUACGAUUACGUAUUUUAAAAUGCAAGGAUAGAUAAAGGCGUGUGUUACAUUUGUCGAAAUUAUUUGAAUUUGUAUGAAAACCUAAAAAGUUUUUUUUAGUUUAAAAAAGAUUAGUUAUGCGGUAUGGCUCCCUUAAGUGGAUUUUUCAACACGUCGAAGUUAUGGGAAAUACUCCGCAAAACCCUGUAUAUAAUAUAACACAAAAAAUAUGUGUGUUAUAUACCUAUAUUUUGUAUUAAAUUCGUCAUAUGGAGGAAGGAGGGCUUCAUCCGCUAAUGUAAAAUCCCCUUUAUCUAGUACAUUUUAUAAAAUCCUUUUUUGGAGCUAGCCGACCGUUAAUAUCAGCCAGUAGUAUUAUUUUCAGAGUAAGAAUAAAUUAGUAAUUCUAAUAAAUCAUACAUAUAAGUAUUACUUAAAAGAACUAUAAGAUAAGAACAAUAUAUUAGUCGUGAAGCUACCUAUAUUAAUAAUAUUACACAAUUCAAAAGUACGUACCUAGCACGUAAAUAAGUAGGUACGACUACGUACCAUUAAUUUCUCAUGCGAUUGAUUCAAUAAGUAAUUAAGUAUAAAGACAGACAGAUGUGAUUGUAGAUAGGUACUUACUUACUCGUUUUUCAGAUGAUACCUACGUGAUUUAAAUAAUAUACAAGAUGAUUUACUAACCAUCUACUAUAAUAACCAUCGAUUUUGUACCAACGCACUUUGAAAAGGAUUAGGUAUUUAACCUACCUAAAAUGGCGUCGCCUCAAUUCACUUCUUGCUUAAGCACAUACAAACACAUAAAUGUUGGUACCGAUUGCAAAAAAAUAUGCAUGCUGAGAGGAUUUACUUCGAUACGGAGACAAUGACUUGCCAUUUAUAACAGUAGCACUAAUCCCGAAACUGAAUGGGUAUCUAUUUACAUAUUUUAGCUUACCUUGUAGCCUUUAUUUAUCUAAUGCUGCGCUACUAACUACUAACGAUUUUAAGACAAUUUAUACUAUUGAGCAAAGCAUAUUGCUUUAUACAUAUUUUUCCCGGUAUAAUUUGAAAUUAAGUCAUAUUCCCAUUCGCCAAUUACUUAGUUUCAUGGCAAUUUAAAAAAACUGUUACAACUUUAAGGAUCUCUAGCGAAGAGUUGCCACGCAACUCAGCGUUACUUAUAAGAGCGUAGACGAACAGCUAUCUUGUGAGUUUCUAAAUGAUUAAAUUGAAUUGAAUUGAACCGAACCUCGGCUUUGGGGGACUUUCGGACCAUCAAAAUCAAGAACACUGUUGUUAGCAACGUUGGUAUGUAGAUUUAUUAAUAAGUAGUUUUGAAUUUUAUGUAUCAAGACACAAAUGUAAUUUCCAACUUUUAUUUUACGCCCAAAAAUAAAUCGCCUCAACAAUGGUAAUAGAGUCUACAUACAGUUGCAAGUAGCUGUAUGAUGAAAAUGACAUCAUGGUGACAAUAAUACGAUCUAAAGAACUCUAAUGAACAGUACCUAGGUUUUCUAGUAUAGCAAUAUAUUAAACAGUGUAGCAAGAUAAACAUGUUUAUUGGUUUUCAAACUAAACAUAAUAAGGAAAAGGAAGUUGUAAUGAUUCCUGUAAUAUACACUAAGUAGGUAGGAACCUACCAAAAUUAGCUUACAAUAUAAAAACUUAUAAGUAACAAUAAUAAUAAAUAUUAAUAUUAUUACUUAUACUCGUAGUACAAACUAUCUAUUUCUUCAACAUUUCAAACAAUUCAAUGAUGAGGUGAAAUUGAAAAACUUUUUUAUUUAUAUUAUUUUUACUAUUUCAUAGACGUGUAUUAAACCAUGUCAAAUUUCAGCUUUCUAGUUUUAACAGAAUCCGAGUUAUCUUACUAACAAGUUUAUAUCUAUUGCAUUUGCAUGCAUUUUUCGUGUUUCAAUUACGUUUUUAAAUUGAGUUGACUACUUAAAGCUCUUUAAACAGCAAUUGCUACCAAGCUGUUAGUUAUUUUUGUAAUUUCAUUUUACAUAUAUCAUAUACGGAAGUAGGUAUAUUAUAUAGAUUAUAAUAUAUGAUCCUACUUCCGUGUACUUUUUCUCGUAUUCUUAAACAACCGUUUGGCUGGUAGAAGGGUGGACACUUAACUAUAACAAAAAUUAGCUCUUAAAAACUUAAUACUAUUAUUAAUAUAUUAUUAUUAAUUUUACAAACGGAUCACUAAAUCGAAAAAUAGUGGUAAAAGACCCUUCAUAUCCUUCAAAGACCUAUCCAACGUUACUUCACAUUAUGCGAUAAACGAGGUAAAAUAAAAUUCAUUCCUACUUGCAUAUAGGGGAGGUACCCUAAAAAAAUAUUUUCAAGAUUUUAUUUUUCGACGUUCACAUUUUUAAUGUACCUACAAACUCAUGCUAAAUUCCUAGUUGAACGCUAAGCCGCGGACUGACAGACGGGCGGACGAAACUAUAAAUGUCCCUUGUGGACUACAGAACCCUAAAAAAAUUAAAUCGCAGAUUCAGUAGUAAAGAGUAAGUAGAUAGGUACAUACUACAUACCUACGUACUGAAUAUUUUUUGGCACAUGGACCAAUUUCAGAAGAUGGUUCAGUGAUUUUCAUAUGAGAUUUUCUUAAUUUUUGCAGUAAUUUUUAAGUAAUUAGAAUAAUUUACUCUGAUUACUGAGUACCUACGUACAUAAUUAAAAAUUUGAUAAUAAGUUGCUUGCAUCGUAUCGGUUUAAAAAUGAUUAAUGUAAUAUAUAAUGUAUCCUUAUGAUAAGACUACUUACAAUAAUUAAGUAACCUUGAUCUGUUCAACUUUUAUAUUUUAUUCCUCUAUACCCACAGAUUAAUGAAUCUAUACCUAUAACUUGUACAUAAUUGUGUUUUCUGUGCCAUUAUAAUAAUUAUGUCCGUUUUCGCACCACUUUUGAAUGGUUGAAUGUAGGUAUAUCGAUGUAAUUUGUUGUAGGUAAGUCUGAAGUCUAGUAAGUAAGAUGACUGUAAUGAUACCUAUAUACGAUCUGAUUUUAGAAAAUAUAGUGGAAUGGAAUGAAGAAACUCAAAUGGCUACAUGAAACCUAAAAACAACACUCAGCAUUUCAGCAGAUGAGAUCAGACCAAAAAUUAAUUGUGUUGAGAAAUUCGCGUCAACUUAUUCCUACGGCUUUAUGACUCAACUCCUCUCGAGCAUGGCUGCGAUUUGCGUGGUAAUG
rnacentral:misc_RNA from 1 species